rnacentral:rRNA from 1 species
AACGAACGCUGGCAGCAGGCUUAACACAUGCAAGUCGAACGCAUCCUUUGGGGUGAGUGGCAGACGGGUGAGUAACGCGUGGGAACGUGCCCUUCAGUUCGGGAUAACCCAGGGAAACUUGGGCUAAUACCGGAUACGUUCGAGAGCAAAAAGAUUUAUCGCUGAAGAAUCGGCCCGCGGCUGAUUAGCUAGUUGGUGGGGUAAUGGCCCACCAAGGCGACGAUCAGUAGCUGGUCUGAGAGGAGGAGCAGCCACAUUGGGACUGAGACACGGCCCAAACUCCUACGGGAGGCAGCAGUGGGGAAUAUUGGACAAUGGGCGCAAGCCUGAUCCAGCCAUGCCGCGUGAGUGAUGAAGGCCUUAGGGUUGUAAAGCUCUUUCGUCCGGGACGAUAAUGACGGUACCGGAAGAAGAAGCCCCGGCUAACUUCGUGCCAGCCGCCGCUGUAA